rnacentral:rRNA from 1 species
ACAGCUAGCUAUUUAGGUUAGAGUUUGAUCAUGGCUCAGAGCGAACGCUGGCGGCGUGCCUAACACAUGCAAGUCGAACGUGAAAGGGAGCAAUCCUGAGUAAAGUGGCGUACGGGUGAGUAACGCGUAGGUAAUCUACCUCAGAGUCUGGAAUAACCUGCCGAAAGGCGGGCUAAUACUGGAUAGAGCGACGGAAUCCGUAAUCGGAUUUUUCGGGAAAGGGAGGAAGCAAUUCCCUUUGCUCUGAGAUGAGCCUGCGUCUCAUUAGCUAGUUGGUGGGGUAAUGGCCUACCAAGGCAUUGAUGGGUAGCUGGUCUGAGAGGAUGAUCAGCCACACUGGAACUGAAACACGGUCCAGACUCCUACGGGAGGCAGCAGUGGGGAAUCUUGCGCAAUGGACGAAAGUCUGACGCAGCCACGCCGCGUGAGUGAAGAAGGCCUUCGGGUUGUAAAGCUCUGUCGCCCGGGACGAAAAGCAUUAGGGUGAAUAGCCCUAGUGCCUGACGGUACCGGGAGAGGAAGCACCGGCUAACUCCGUGCCAGCAGCCGCGGUAAUGUCGGGCCCAAUCGC